AUACCCCCAGAUUUUCCCUUGCCUACUUCUCCUGAAACUUUAUCUCUCUCUUUUAAAUCUUAUCUAGAUGCGCUUUCUCUUUCCAUCUUCUUCAUUUUUUCCCCGAACAGAAAUACUAAACCCUAACUGUGAAUCCUUGUUUCAUUAUAAUUCGUUCAACUGAUAUACUUCAUUCAUUCGAACUAAACUCUCCCAGAAUUCAUGAUUCGAUCUGUAGCUUUGCAUCAAUUUCUUCGAUCUGUGAUAGUUUCUUCUUUCUUCAAUUUCUUCGAUCUGUAACAUUUCAUUCCUUCUUCAAUUUCUUCGAUUGGUUGCAAUCAACUAUUCUUCCAUUUUAUCUUAUAACCAAAGAAGAAAUCGAACCUCCUUUCAUUUCAUCAUCAGUAGCAAAUCGAAGAAGAGUUCAACAGAAAUCAGUGAUGAAAAUGUUAGGAAUUAUCAGUGGAUUUAUUUGUGUUAUGGGUCUUUCUCAGUAUUAUAUCUACAAAUGGCAGGCAGAAGCAUAUCGGUAAUCAUAUGUAGGAUGUGGACAAGAAGCUGGUCGAGAAAUAAUGCUGAGCAAACUACAAUUAUGAUGCAUGAAAUAGUGAAGAUGAAGUCAUGGUGAUGAUUUCCUGGUAAGUUAUGUUUACAGCACUAUGAACUUGUUAUGCAACUUGUUCAUAGUCUUCGAGAGUGAUUCUUUGAGAUUCUAAAUCUCACCAUAAAUAAUUGUGAUUUCUAGCAAGGUAAUUGCUGAUAAAUUCUGUUGUGUAUGCGUGAUUUAAUAUGAAACUUCUUUCCUGUGUAAGGGUGUUAAUAUUAUAUGGAUCAUAUGCGCAUCAAGGUGUUUGAUUUUUAUUGUAUUAUAUGAUUUAGGAGAGUCAAAUGCUGCUAGCGUUCGUGCUGUAUGUUUUAACCAACUGUAUCAGAAAAUAUUAAUGUCGCAAGCUUGCUCAUAAUUUAAACCUUUCUAAUUCAUGUUUUCAGGUUCUUACCCGCAAUAAGUUAGAGUGCCCUGACCUUGAAACAUUAUCUAUUAAAGAUCAAACCCUAACUACUGAGAGUCAGUAUCUUCCUAAAGCGAUACCCACUUAAUUUGAAACGCUCAGGAAACUGUACUCAUGUGCACGUCUUUUUUCUGAAUUCUACUUGUUUGACGUUGCAUGCGUGGAAAAAAUCGUUGGUUGGGCAUUAAGUUAUCAUCUGAUGCACAGUACUGAUAUAAUUUCGAAGAUUCAAAACUUGUUAUAUCUGGCGAAAGGUUUAAUAUGUUCAUCUCACCUUCUUUAUUUCAUUGUAUUAAAAUUUGAGCCCAGCAGUCUGUGAAGUGUCACUCUAACCUUGUUUUUCUGGCUACGAAUAUUGCAGCAUUAAGUAUGGACUUGACCUUCUUCAGGGAAUCCAAAACGAAACCAAGAGUACAAAGAAAUCACUAAAGGUGAAGUUAAUAUGCUCUUAAUAGUUCUCAAUUUGUUGUUUGUUCACAGUGGUUCGACGAAGGAGAGAAAUAUGUCAAAGCAGUGUUCUCACUAGCUAGUAAAAUAGCUCCAAGUGUUAUCUUUGAUGAUGAGUGAUCCCACAGUUUCUUUUCUCAAAAAUUGCUUUAAGUUGGUCUUGUUUGGAUCCAAAGCAAGAGGAAAGGAAUUUCACAUCCCGAUCAACUUUAGUUGAAUUUGAUGCGGAAUUCGCAGGAACCAACAGAAAAAUUAAGGUGUACUUAACUAAGUUUUACAAUCUGAGCAGCGAAGUUUUACAAUCUGAGAAGAUGAGGAUUUGAUGAAAGCAUCCAGGACAUAAAUAUGGAAGAGGAUGCGUUGGAAUUAAUGGAUCAUUUAGAUUGACCACAAGCUCAUUCCAUGGGUUCAAUGGCUUGAAUCAAAGCACAUAAACCCAGGGCUUACUUCAAGAAGUUUCAAUUCAAAUUCAAGCGAAUGAGAGAGGCAAAAACGAAAAAUAGAGCCAGAAUCCGACUAAUUAACCAGCGCAAGAACAAGUACAACACCCCUAAGUACCGUUUUGUUGUUCGUUUCACCAACAUAGAAAUUAUUGCCCUGAUCAUAUCUGCUAUGAUACUGGUGAUUUGGUAACUUGUGCAGCUUAUGCCCACAAGUUUCCCAGAUAUGGUCUUGAAGUUGGUCUCACUAACUAUGCCGCAGCUUAAGGCUAGAGUGAUGAACCUGAAUUGAGCUAGUUUGUUGGUAAAUGAAGGUAUAAGUAGUGAAGUCUUGUUCUAUGUUGCUAACUCGCAUGGAAGAUUUUCAAGCUUUUUGAUUUGUUAAGUUUGUAAAAGAAAUAUAGGUUGAGCAAUUUUUUACUUACCGUUGAAAUUCAGAUUUAGAACUUAAAAGGUAUGAUAGUAGAAGUUGUAAACGAACACAUUUUAAUACACAUUAAGUGUUACAGUCGUUAUAAAUUUAAAAUUCUAAAA